CCAGAUUUUGCAGAUCUGGGGCAGGAGCUGCCUUGUAGGGGCGGCGGAGGAAGGGGAGACCAUCAGCCGGGUAGAGGGGAGUUGCAAAUCCCUUCCCUGGCUUGGCAAAUGCUCCCUCCCGAAGACGUCUGGAGCAGUGGUCUAAAAUGGCCACCCUGAAGGGGAAGAGUUAAGUGGAAUAAGAUUGUGCAGGAAAGAGAAAGAAGCGGACAGCAGCAGAAACCGGAUGCUAUAAUUAAAUGGAAGGUACCCCAGGACUAAUCUU